UGGGGAAUAUUGGACAAUGGGGGCAACCCUGAUCCAGCAAUGCCGCGUGUGUGAAGAAGGUCUUCGGAUUGUAAAGCACUUUCGACGGGGACGAUGAUGACGGUACCCGUAGAAGAAGCCCCGGCUAACUUCGUGCCAGCAGCCGCGGUAAUACGAAGGGGGCUAGCGUUGCUCGGAAUGACUGGGCGUAAAGGGCGUGUAGGCGGUUUACACAGUCAGAUGUGAAAUCCCCGGGCUUAACCUGGGAGCUGCAUUUGAUACGUGUAGACUAGAGUGUGAGAGAGGGUUGUGGAAUUCCCAGUGUAGAGGUGAAAUUCGUAGAUAUUGGGAAGAACACCGGUGGCGAAGGCGGCAACCUGGCUCAUGACUGACGCUGAGGCGCGAAAGCGUGGGGAGCAAACAGGUUAGAUACCCUGGUAGUCCACGCUGUAAACAAUGUGUGCUAGAUGUUGGGUAACUU
rnacentral:rRNA from 1 species